AUCGUCCAGGCCAGGAAUCAGGCCUUCCCCAAGCUUGUGCUGCCCCUCUCCUCUCUCCUAAUCUGGUCGUCAGAUCUGUCAUGUUUGCUUCCCAGUGUCUAAGCUCCACCGUCUCUGUUCUCAUCCCCUCAUUAACUGUCAGCAGCAAUUGUAUGGAUUCCUCUGAAGACUGUGAACUUGAUCCCAUCAUUGAAGGAGACAGAUUUAAAAAAAAAAAAAACUCUAAGAGGCCAUUUUUCCAUUAUAAAAAUCUCCCUUAAUCAACCUGUGCUGGCAGGAGAGGUGGCUUAGCCGUUAAGGGCGUGUAUCUGAGUUUUACCUAAUCCUUUCCUUCCAUCUCCAACACCCCUCCCAAGAAAAGCCAUUUAGAAGACAAUGCAGACGUGUAAUAGAGGCUGGAAGUAGAUAUUUUAGAACAGCUGUGUUUCUUAGAUAUGAUAAUAGCGUAGCGGAUUUAGAUUUGUUCUCUGGAGAUACAUGUUAAAGUAUUCACUUAUUGAGACAAGGUCUCACCCAUUGUGCUGGCCAGCCUGGAACUCUCAGUGUAGACCAGGCUGGCCUUAAACUCAGAGAUCUUCCUGAGUCUACCUCCUAAGUGCUGGAAUUAAAGGUCUGACCACCAUGGGCGGCAUAUGCUGAAGUAUUAAAGUUGUAUGUGUCUAGACGAUUUCCAAAUCGUCACAGUUUUCUUUUAACUUACACAUUUUUAUCUACUUGGAGUGUGUAAAUUAUUUCAACUUCUCCGUGUUUGAAGUUUUGCUAAACAAGAAAUGGGCGAGAGGGUCUCUGUAGCAGCUGUGCAGGAGUUAGGGUCACAGGAGUAUUGCUUUAAUAUGAAACAUCUCAGAAUAGAUCUGCCGCCCUCCCCUGCCCGUGCGUGCUUCCUCGCUGCAAUACUUACUCCUGGCUUUGUGACUAGCCCUUAAAACGCUGUCUCCCCUGGAUGUCCAGCUGACAGAUGUUUCCUCCCCUUCUCUGUCAGUGGUUCUCAGCCUGUGAGUCAAGACCCCUUUGGAUUGCAUAUCAGAUAUUUACAUUACGAUUCAUAACAGCAAAAUUCCUGUUAGGAAGUAGCCAUGAAAACCAUUUCAUGGUUGGGGAUCACUGCAACAUUAGGCACUGUGUUAAAGUGGCAGCCUGAGGAAAGCUGAGAACCACUGAGCCACAUCAUUAGCUCAAGAGUUACUUCUUCCUGGCACCUCAUCUCCCGGCCACCUGAGACCCUGCCCCGUCCGGCCACCCUGCGCUGCUGCAUCUUAUCCCCACCCCUGGGCCUCCGUCCAAAGCUUAUCUGGGGAUGCAUGUGAUCCAGUUCCCCUGCUCUCGCCUGCAGGCUCAGCCCUGUGGGGUCAGGGCCGGGUUCAUUCUCUGUAUGUCCUCUUGCAGCUAGCCCAACCCCUAACGCAUAUCAUGAUGCAGUUAGCAAAUAUUUGUGGGUCAAGUGGGUAUUUGUGGUAAGGCCCACUGUGCUCUUUCUGAACAUUAAAUCUUUUUCCCCUGCCUCCCUUUGCUGACUAAACCUUAGUGCUGUCUCUCACCUGGUCAGCGCUGUUUUCCAAACCUCUCCGUUUUUGAGGCGGUUUUGGUCGGAGGUUGGGGAGUGUGUUUUGUUUUAUUGUUUUGCUGCAGUUGGGUUUAUGGUUUGUUUUAUUUUGUUUUGAGGCAGGGCUUCACAGUUUAGCCCUGGCUGGCCGGAAACUUGAUAUGUAGAUCAGACUAGCCUCAAACACAGAGAUCUGCCAGACUUUUUCUCUAGUCUUGGGGAUGAAACCCAGGGUCUCACUCAUACUAGCCAUUAAGCUACACUCCCAGCCCCAGGGGUGUCUUUUGAAAGUAUUGUUUCUCUUCAUCUCUACAUCCAGCAUCUGAACAGGAGACCAUCAUCCUUUUUCCCAUCCACCCAGAGGGUUCUUUCUUUGUUUUUGUUUUUCAAAACAGGAUUUCUCUGUGUCCCUGGCCAUGGAACUCACUACAUAGACCAGGCUGAUUUCGAACUCAGAGAUCACCUGCCUCUGCCUCUCAAUUGCUGGCAUUAAAGGUGUGAGCCACCUAUCCUCACUGAGUGUUUGGCUUUUGGUUUUGGGGGUUUGUUUUGUUUUGUUUUUAAGGCUUCCUUCAAUAAAAGGUUCUGCCAGUCAUGGCAGGAAGGAGUCCAGGAACUGCACCCCCUGCCCUGGGGGUUGGCUCAGUAUUACCAGGCUGCCUUUCCUGCCUGUUUUGAAAAUCUGCUGGCAGUAUCCAUGGCAGUGUAACAUACGCAGCAGUGUAGCGCCCUGCCCAAGCUGACCUGUUACCACCCGCUUCUUCCCACUCCCGCCCUGCACACCUUACAGACUCGUGCGUGCCGUCCGUUUCCCGACCCUGUGUCCUUGUCCUUGUACAUGUUGUUCUCUCUGGCUAGAAUUAGCACCUGCCUUGUCCAUCUGUCCUGCCUGGCCUCCAGCGCAGGGCUGCAGAGUCUCUCCUGGAGUCACUCUUGCUCCUCUUGAGGCCAAGCCGGUGAUUCAUUCCCCUGAGCUCUGGCAGUGUGUCCACUCUGGGAUCUGUGCUCAUUCUGGCUGUUUUCCCCCAGGAGAUGGAACUGACUUAGCAUCUGAUAGAACCUGAUACCAACAGAGCCUAGCAUACAAUGCUUAUUCUCAAUUCCAGUGUUUGAUAGAAAGUAGGGACCCUCCAAGCUGGAUGUGUGUGUGUGUGUCUAUGUCUCUGUAUGUUUAUGUGUAUGUGUGUAUAUGUCUAUCUGUGUAUAUGUAUGUGUUUCUGUGUGUCUGUGUCUCUGUGUUUAUAUGCAUGUAUGUGUCUGUGUUUUGUGUGUGUGUGUGUCUCUGUGUUUAUAUGCAUGUAUGUGUCUGUGUUUUGUGUGUGUGUGUCUCUGUGUGUAUGUGUAUCUGUGCCUGUUUAUACGGGUGUCUGUGUGUAUAUGUAUGUGUCUGUGUGUUUAUGUGUGUGUGUCUGUGUCUGCAUGUGCCUGUCCGUAAGAACCCAGGCCUUGCCUGGAUCCAGUCUCUCUGGCAGCUGUUAGCAUAGCUCUCUCCAUAUUUGGCUUAGACAGUGAGAGAGACUGGAUGACGUGUCAUCAAGUAUCCUGUGCCCAGGACUGGGCAUAUCAUGUCGGCUUUUGUCAGCUGAAACCUGACACUCAAACAAGAUUUGAGUUUGACCCUCAAAGCCAGGCUCGAAGGUUCAGCCAGAGAUGUAGGUUUGGGAGAUGGCCCUGAUUAGUAGAAACAUUUUGAAUGCUGUUUGUUCUUCGAAACUUCUGAGCCCAUUGUUUAGUCUCUCUGAGCUUGUCUGGGGUUGCAAGACCUACCUUGCUGCGGUUUUGAGGCUCUAAUGAAAUGACCUAGGCAAAUGACCUCAAGCAGCCCAGGGGAAGAAAUGUGUCUUUAAUAACUGUUGGUAUCCUUGAGCCCUAAGGAGGAAAAGUGUCACUGCCUGCUCUAUCCUUAGUCUACAAAUAAUCCUUUCAGAGUCACAAAUACAUUCAGUGCAAUAAAGAUUAGUCAUGUUUU
rnacentral:lncRNA from 1 species